AACGAUGGCUAAUACCGCAUAAUACCUUCGGGUCAAAGAGGGGGACCUUCGGGCCUCUCGCGUCAGGAUAUGCCUAGGUGGGAUUAGCUAGUUGGUGAGGUAAUGGCUCACCAAGGCGACGAUCCCUAGCUGGUCUGAGAGGAUGAUCAGCCACACUGGAACUGAGACACGGUCCAGACUCCUACGGGAGGCAGCAGUGGGGAAUAUUGCACAAUGGGCGCAAGCCUGAUGCAGCCAUGCCGCGUGUGUGAAGAAGGCCUUCGGGUUGUAAAGCACUUUCAGUCGUGAGGAAGGUAGUGUAGUUAAUAGCUGCAUUAUUUGACGUUAGCGACAGAAGAAGCACCGGCUAACUCCGUGCCAGCAGCCGCGGUAAUACGGAGGGUGCGAGCGUUAAUCGGAAUUACUGGGCGUAAAGCGCAUGCAGGUGGUUUGUUAAGUCAGAUGUGAAAGCCCGGGGCUCAACCUCGGAAUAGCAUUUGAAACUGGCAGACUAGAGUACUGUAGAGGGGGGUAGAAUUUCAGGUGUAGCGGUGAAAUGCGUAGAGAUCUGAAGGAAUACCGGUGGCGAAGGCGGCCCCCUGGACAGAUACUGACACUCAGAUGCGAAAGCGUGGGGAGCAAACAGGAUUAGAUACCCUGGUAGUCCACGCCGUAAACGAUGUCUACUUGGAGGUUGUGGCCUUGAGCCGUGGCUUUCGGAGCUAACGCGUUAAGUAGACCGCCUGGGGAGUACGGUCGCAAGAUUAAAACUCAAAUGAAUUGACGGGGGCCCGCACAAGCGGUGGAGCAUGUGGUUUAAUUCGAUGCAACGCGAAGAACCUUACCUACUCUUGACAUCCAGAGAACUUUCCAGAGAUGGAUUGGUGCCUUCGGGAACUCUGAGACAGGUGCUGCAUGGCUGUCGUCAGCUCGUGUUGUGAAAUGUUGGGUUAAGUCCCGCAACGAGCGCAACCCUUAUCCUUGUUUGCCAGCACUUCGGGUGGGAACUCCAGGGAGACUGCCGGUGAUAAACCGGAGGAAGGUGGGGACGACGUCAAGUCAUCAUGGCCCUUACGAGUAGGGCUACACACGUGCUACAAUGGCGCAUACAGAGGGCGGCCAACUUGCGAGAGUGAGCGAAUCCCAAAAAGUGCGUCGUAGUCCGGAUCGGAGUCUGCAACUCGACUCCGUGAAGUCGGAAUCGCUAGUAAUCGUGGAUCAGAAUGCCACG
rnacentral:rRNA from 1 species